UGCUGGGCGGAUUAGUGGCGAACGGGUGAGUAAUACGUGAGUAACCUGCCCUUGACUCUGGGAUAAGCCUGGGAAACUGGGUCUAAUACUGGAUACUACCUCCUGCCGCAUGGUGGGUGGUGGAAAGGGUUUUACUGGUUUUGGAUGGGCUCACGGCCUAUCAGCUUGUUGGUGGGGUAAUGGCUCACCAAGGCGACGACGGGUAGCCGGCCUGAGAGGGUGACCGGCCACACUGGGACUGAGACACGGCCCAGACUCCUACGGGAGGCAGCAGUGGGGAAUAUUGCACAAUGGGCGGAAGCCUGAUGCAGCGACGCCGCGUGAGGGAUGACGGCCUUCGGGUUGUAAACCUCUUUCAGUAGGGAAGAAGCGAGAGUGACGGUACCUGCAGAAGAAGCGCCGGCUAACUACGUGCCAGCAGCCGCGGUAAUACGUAGGGCGCAAGCGUUGUCCGGAAUUAUUGGGCGUAAAGAGCUCGUAGGCGGUUUGUCGCGUCUGCUGUGAAAGCCCGGGGCUCAACCCCGGGUCUGCAGUGGGUACGGGCAGACUAGAGUGCAGUAGGGGAGACUGGAAUUCCUGGUGUAGCGG
rnacentral:rRNA from 1 species